UCGAUGCUCUACAUGCAGACCAACUCGUGAAUUUGUUUGAAUACAUACGGAUGGCACGGGUGUUUUGGCACCACGACCUCCCUUUGGGUAGGAGGGGGUGCGUCCCCCUCUCUUGCCUGAACACAAACCCCGGCGUUCAAUGCGCCAAGGAACUAAAAUUCGAUCAAUGCGCCCCGUCGGCCCGGAGACGGUGCUCUAGCGGUGGUGCCUUGUCACAUGAUAC
rnacentral:misc_RNA from 1 species